rnacentral:rRNA from 1 species
UAGGGAAUCUUCCACAAUGGGCGAAAGCCUGAUGGAGCAACGCCGCGUGCGUGAUGAAGGGUUUCGGCUCGUAAAACACUGUUGUAAGAGAAGAAUGACAUUGAGAGUAACUGUUCAAUGUGUGACGGUAUCUUACCAGAAAGGAACGGCUAAAUACGUGCCGG